UUUUUUUUUUUUUUUUUUUUUGCGCAGAUGAACAGUGAGAUAUGCUGAAAAAAUGAGAAACCGAAAGUUUUAAGGGAAUUUUAGGUUUCGGAUGACGUGAAUUAGGGUAAAUGACAUGGAUUGGUGGCAUGGAAUUUUUAGUU
rnacentral:sRNA from 1 species